rnacentral:rRNA from 1 species
GAUGAACGCUGGCGGCGUGCCUAAUACAUGCAAGUCGAGCGAACAGACGAGGAGCUUACUCCUCUGACGUUAGCGGCGGACGGGUGAGUAACACGUGGAUAACCUACCUAUAAGACUGGGAUAACUUCGGGAAACCGGAGCUAAUACCGGAUAACAUGUUGAACCGCAUGGUUCAACAGUGAAAGACGGUCUUGCUGUCACUUAUAGAUGGAUCCGCGUCGCAUUAGCUAGUUGGUAAGGUAGCGGCUUACCAAGGCAACGAUGCGUAGCCGACCUGAGAGGGUGAUCGGCCACACUGGAACUGAGACACGGUCCAGACUCCUACGGGAGGCAGCAGUAGGGAAUCUUCCGCAAUGGGCGAAAGCCUGACGGAGCAACGCCGCGUGAGUGAAGAAGGUCUUCGGAUCGUAAAACUCUGUUAUUAGGGAAGAACAAAUGUGUAAGUAACUAUGCACGUCUUGACGGUACCUAAUCAGAAAGCCACGGCUAACUACGUG